rnacentral:lncRNA from 1 species
UUGCAAUUCCUUUCUCACAAUGCUUUCCCCGAAUGUCAUGACAUCCCUUUCUUUCUAAUCCCGUGCCCCAAAUAUAUGACUUCAUAGUCAUCUCAUUUCACCUUUGUAAUUUGGCAGAUUCCUGGGCCAGAGGAGAGUACAUCACAGUCACUUAACCAGAACAGAAUGAAUUAUAGUUACCACUUGAGGUAGCAGGCACCACAGAAAUAGAGAUUACUGAAUGAACAAGUGCUUUUUUGUGGUUGUUAAUAUCCAGUGUCUGGAUUCCAAAUCUUGGAGAGAUUGAUUUGUUGUUCCUUACCAUUCCACCAUCUUCCUGGAAGUCCUGCUCUGAGUAUUUUUUAUAUAGCAACAUCAAUAACAAGUACAUGGGUAGAAACCUGAUUUCCAGACUUGCAACCUUAUAUUAUUUAAAUGUCUGGUUUUCAACAGCAAAAAGUUGCAAAGCAUAUGAAGGUUUAAGAACAUAUGCCCUAUAGAUAGGAACAAAAGCAAUCACUGUUCUUGAAAAAGCCUAGACGUUGGACUUAAUGAGACUUUAAAUCAGGUAUUUUAAAUGUGUUCAAAGACUAAAGAAAAACAUGAAAAGAAGAACUAAAGGAAACUAUUAACAUAUGUCACCAAAUAGAGAAUAUGAAUAAGUAUGAGGAAGUAUUUUUAAAAGAAACAAACAGAAAGUAUGGAAUUGAAAAGAGCAGUAAGUGAAACGAGAAUUCACUAGAGCUCAACAUCAGAUGAACAGCCAAAAGAAAGACAGUGAACUUGAAGGUAAGCCCAUUGAGAUUGCCCAGUAAGGAACAUAAAUAAUGAAGAACAAUGAAGAGAAAUUAACAGAGCUUCAGAGACCUAUGGUACAUCAUCAAGCCUAUUAAUAUAUGCAUAAUGGAAGUAAAAGAAAGAGAAGAAAGGAGUAAAGAAUGUUUGAAUCCAGGCGUGGGGGCAUAUGUCUCUAAUCCCAGCUAUUCAGAAGGCUGAGGCAGAAGGAUUUCAAGUUCAAAGUCAGCCUGGACAAUUGAGCAAGACCCUCUCUCAAAAUUAAAGUAUAAAAAGGGCUGGGGAUGUAGCUCAGUAACAGAACACUUGCCUAGAAUGCAUGAGACCUUGAUUUCAAUCCUAUCUCACACGCACACACACGCACACACACACAAAUAUUUGAAGAAAUAAUGUUUGAAAACUUUACACAUUCAAGAAGCUCAACAUACAUCAAUAGGAUAAAGAGAUCCAACCUAAAAUAUCAUAAUCAAACUUUUAAAAGACAAACAGUAGAAUCUUAAAAACAGCAAACUAAAAGUGAUUCAUCCAAUACAAGAAAUCUUUAAUGAGAUUAAGAGUUAAUUUUUCAUAAGAAACCAGAGAAGGUAGAAGACAGGGAUGUAGCAUAUUCGAAGUGCUAAAAAGGGAAAAAAGUGGUCAACCAAGAAUUCUAUAACCAGCAAACUAGCCUUCAGAAACACACGAGGAAUUAAAAUACUCCUAGAUGAACAAAAACAGAGCUUGUUACUAAGCCAAACUGACCUACAAAACAUACCAAGGUGAAAAUACACUAGACAGUAAUUUGAAUCUAUGUGAAAACAUAAAGUUACCAAAGGUAAUGUAUCAUAAGUGUUUUUUUCUAUUUAAUUUAAAAGAAAAUUCAUAAAGCAAUAAUUAUAGAAAUAUGCCUAUGUAAAUUGGCAAAAUGUAUAAAGAUGUGAUUGUGAUAACAGUUUAAAGAAGGAGGAGUUGAACUAGACUGUUAUAAAUUAAGAGGUUAGUGGUAAUCUCUAUGGCAACCACUAGGAAAACAACUCAAAAAUACAUAAUAAAAGAAAUGGCCAAGAAAUUAAAAAAAAAUUAAUGUCUACCAUUAGGGCAAAGAUCAGGCAGGCUUAUUAGCCAUUUAAAAAUAUUUGUGUUCCUUAAAUUCAGGGUUUCUCUCCUGUGACAGAUCCCCCUGACCUUUGGGUCACACUAGAAAUUGGAUUUCAGCAAACUGGCUCAAGAAAAAUGAUGAUAUUCUAUUUCUGUGGAUAAUAAACUAUCUUUUGUCUCUGACUUAGGAGUCUCAUCCAUGAAACUAUAGCAAAUAGGGUAAAAUAUCAGUCCCUUCUGAGUCAUCUCUAAGCCCACUAAUAUAAGUGGGUGGGUAAGAAAAAUCCCUAAAGAAUGUGUGGGAUUUUCUUUGUUGGACUAUCUACUGGCAGAC